GUUAUGAAGAGAGAGGAAGGAAGAGGGAGAAAGAAGAUGAAGGCUGUCUUUCAUGUUCCCACACAGCAUUUCAACUUUCACUCUGCCAUUCCAUAACUCUCCAUUUCUUCUUUUUGAGCCAUUGUGUUGUAGCUUUGCUUGUGUGUUUUCAAUCAUUGUAUUGUUGCGAGAUCCAUUUUUGGUUCAGCUUCAGAUUUUUGACAGAUGGCCUCACAUUCUCCUGAAGAAUUCUCUGGUACAAUAUGGCAUUCCUGGUUGACUGAGUGAUGACAUUUGGCCUGGCCUUGAGGCAACCACGCAGCCCAAAACCAUAAUGCCACUGCCUCCAUGCUUUAAGGAAGUCACGUUCAGUCAAAGCGCGACAGUAAUCAGCCAAUGGGCUUACAGUACUGUGAUGGGUAUUCCAGGUCGGGAUGUCUAUGAAGUAGAGGUAUGACCGGAAGUUUCUUUGGGACUGAGUGAGAUGACAUUGAGUC